GCGAUGGCGCGUCAGUCGUACUGUGAAGCGAUCCUCGUUAAGUCAGGCAACGAGCGAGACCCACGCCAGCAGUUGCCAGCUCGUCCUCCGGGGAUGGUGGGGACACUGUUGGGACCGCCUCUGCUAAAGAGGAGGAAGGAAUGGGCAACGGUAGGUCAGCAUGCCCCGAAUUAUCUGGGCUACACGCGGGCUACAAUGGGUGGGACAAUGGGUAUCGACACCGAAAGGUGAAGGCAAUCUCCUAAACCCAUCCGUAGUUCGGAUUGUGGGCUGCAACUCGCCCACAUGAAGCUGGAAUCUGUAGUAAUCGUGUCUCAAAAUGGCACGGUGAAUAUGUCCCUGCUCCUU
rnacentral:rRNA from 1 species